GACGAACGCUGGCGGCGUGCUUAACACAUGCAAGUCGAACGCUGAAGCUCAGCUUUUGUUGGGUGGAUGAGUGGCGAACGGGUGAGUAACACGUGAGUAACCUGCCCCCUUCUUUGGGAUAACGCCCGGAAACGGGUGCUAAUACUGGAUAUUCACUGGUCUUCGCAUGGGGGUUGGUGGAAAGGGUUUUUCUGGUGGGGGAUGGGCUCGCGGCCUAUCAGCUUGUUGGUGGGGUGAUGGCCUACCAAGGCUUUGACGGGUAGCCGGCCUGAGAGGGUGACCGGUCACAUUGGGACUGAGAUGCGGCCCAGACUCCUACGGGAGGCAGCAGUGGGGAAUAUUGCACAAUGGGCGCAAGCCUGAUGCAGCGACGCCGCGUGAGGGAUGGAGGCCUUCGGGUUGUGAACCUCUUUCGCUCAUGGUCAAGCCGCAACAAUGGUUGUGGUGAGGGUAGUGGGUAAAGAAGCGCCGGCUAACUACGUG
rnacentral:rRNA from 1 species